rnacentral:rRNA from 1 species
AGCGAACGCUGGCGGCAGGCUUAACACAUGCAAGUCGAGCGGGCACCUUCGGGUGUCAGCGGCAGACGGGUGAGUAACACGUGGGAACGUACCCUUUGGUUCGGAACAACUCUGGGAAACUGGAGCUAAUACCGGAUACGCCCUUAUGGGGAAAGGUUUACCGCCGAAGGAUCGGCCCGCGUCUGAUUAGCUAGUUGGUGAGGUAACGGCUCACCAAGGCGACGAUCAGUAGCUGGUCUGAGAGGAUGAUCAGCCACACUGGGACUGAGACACGGCCCAGACUCCUACGGGAGGCAGCAGUGGGGAAUAUUGGACAAUGGGCGCAAGCCUGAUCCAGCCAUGCCGCGUGAGUGAUGAAGGCCUUAGGGUUGUAAAGCUCUUUUGUCCGGGACGAUAAUGACGGUACCGGAAGAAUAAGCCCCGGCUAACUUCGUGCCAGCAGCCGCCGCUGUAAG